rnacentral:lncRNA from 1 species
GAAAAAAAGAUUUAUUUUUUAUUUUUUAUGUACUUUUUUUUUUUUUGCCCUCCCUUAGAACAUGUUUUUUUUCCUUAAUCAAAGGAUGACAGGUUCUGCAACCACACCCAGCAAGUCUCUUAAAAAUAUUGAUAAAGCUGUCACUGCAGACACAUUCUCUGGGAUCACCAAAAUAUAAACUCCAGUACCAACAAAACCUGAGUCUAUCCAUGGAAUCGUAGAAAAAGAAUAAUCACAUAAUUGCUGCCAGAUUCCAUCAAAGAACUCUUUAUUCAGGAAAGAUGCUGCCUUGCCCAGCUUAUACUCUUGAGUCUUCUGAUGGUGAAUCAGAGGGCCGGCAGAAACAGGAGGUGUCAGAAGGUGAGAAUGGAAGGUGCCCAAGAAUACAGAGGAAGAGAAGAAUAAGCAUAACAGCCUUGGGGGCACACAGCUCUGUGCUUGGGGGAGUGAAGAUUUGCUAUUUCAGCUUUUGUGGUGGGUGAGGACAAGUGAGUGGAAGUAGAAAAAUAAGGAUCUUAAAAAUUUCUGAGGAAUAUUAUCUACAGUAUUAAGGAAAUACUAUAAGUGACUGAAAUUAUAAUGAAAUUAGCAUGGACUCUAUUUUUGUGACCGUCAGUAUACUAGGACUGAA